UCCUCACCUACAAUAUCAAACACUCUGAGUUAGAGUUUAAACAUUGUACAAGGUGUGCACACUAACAUGUUUAGGACAUUCGAUUUUCAUCCCAAAGACAGACUAUUGCUGUAUUUUAAAAUAAGUGCACCAAAAUGUAUUCAAGUACAAUACACAGAGACAUCAUUUAUGGCCAUAUCUAGGGUAACAGAAGUCUUCUGCCAGGCGACCUUGAGGAUCUGCAACUGUGCAUUAUACUAAACUGGGCAGUACAUUUAGCAACUCACCUGCCUGAUCUUGCAAUGAUCAAUUGCUGAACAAUAGAUGUAUUUGUAAAUCGAAAGAAAGGAAGUAUAGUUGGUAAUACAAGGUUGAAGCACCCUAUGAAACACUUUAAUCUCUGUUUGAUUAUUUAGGUCAUUGAUUAAAGCAUCUACCAGGGCAAGGGGGAGCCUUAAACAUUCUAAUGUUAUCUACAGUGCUUCUGAGAAGCCUCCAGGACUUUCCAGCAGAAUUAUUACCACAGGCUAUUUCUUCUAUUAUAGCUACACUUGCUGCUACCACAGUAGUUUGAACAUACACAGGGAGCUAGCCAUAAAAGCAGUACUGCUACUGCUGUCAGUGAGAGAACUUGCUCUGCCUUGUUGUACAACGUAUCUCGAAGACGUUUCAAUUCCAAUUUUAAGAGAUUAUCUUCAAUCAUCAAAUCCUAUCAAAUGCCAAAAAGAGAAAUAAUACAAAAUUAAAAGAUUGGACAUUUCUGUUCUCAGAGAUUCUAAAUCAGAAGCAGUUCUGUCCACAGUGGCUUUUAAAGUAUCCAGCUAAUAAAUAAAUAAGUAACAUCUUUUAUCCAAAGGCAUCCCAAGUAACUGAUUAUACAAAGUAUGGCUCUGCUCUUGCAAUUGGAUCUUCCAGUGUUUAACAAAUGAGAUAUUUCUCCUGAUUUGGGAUGUGUCUGACAGAAAUUCAUUUCUGUACCCGGGCUGCUCUGGCUUUUAAAUCACCUUUGAAGGAGGUGCAGGAUGGGCCAGCCCAGGGCAGGGAGGCUGAAAGAGUCAUGGUGCCAUGAGGCGUCUGAAGAUUACCACAGAGUUUCUGGGAUCUCUGUAGAGAAACACUGGCUUUCAACAAAUAUAGGUUUUUACUGUAUCUGGUGAGAUUUGUGGGCUAGAAAAACCACACAGCUGACCACUCCAUGGCCAAGAACCUCCCAAACCAAGAAUAGGAUGCAGCAAAAACUCUGCAGCUAUAACGCAGUAAAUUUAUAAUGUGUUCAUGGCUUCCUCUGUAUAGUAUGCAAGGCUGGCUCUAAACCAAAUGGUGCCCCAGACAAGGAGCGUCUUCAGCAUUCUCCCCCCUCCCCCCGCAUUUGUUAAA